rnacentral:rRNA from 1 species
AAUCAACGCUGGCGGCGUGCCUCAGACAUGCAAGUCGAACGAGAAAGUCCCCUUCGGGGGGUGAGUAAAGUGGCGCACGGGUGAGUAACACGUAGGUAAUCUACCUUCGGGUGGGGAAUAACCCAGGGAAACUUGGGCUAACACCGCAUAAUGCAGCGGCACCACAUGGUGACAGUUGUUAAAGCGGGGGAGUUUUAGGUACCUCGCGCCUGAAGAGGAGCCUGCGGCGGAUUAGCUAGUUGGUAGGGAACGGCUUACCAAGGCGACGAUCCGUAACCGGCCUGAGAGGGCGGUCGGUCACACUGACACUGACAUACGGGUCAGACUCCUACGGGAGGCAGCAGUCGGGAA